GACGAACGCUGGCGGCGUGCCUAAUACAUGCAAGUUGAGCGCUGAAGGUUGGUACUUGUACCAACUGGAUGAGCAGCGCACGGGCGAGUAACGCGUGGGGAAUCUGCCUUUGAGCGGGGGACAACAUUUGGAAACGAAUGCUAAUACCGCAUAAAAACUUUAAACACAAGUUUUAAGUUUGAAAGAUGCAAUUGCAUCACUCAAAGAUGAUCCCGCGUUGUAUUAGCUAGUUGGUGAGGUAAAGGCUCACCAAGGCGAUGAUACAUAGCCGACCUGAGAGGGUGAGUGGCCAGAUUGGGACGGAGACACGGCCCAAAGUCCUACGGGAGGCAGCAGUAGGGAAUCUUCGGCAAGGGACGAAAGUCUGACCGAGAAACGCCGCGUGAGUGAAGAAGGUUUUCGGAUCGUAAAACUCGGUUGGUAGAGAAGAACGUUGGUGAGAGUGGAAAGCUCAUCAAGUGACGGUAACUACCCAGAAAGGGACGGCUAACUACGUG
rnacentral:rRNA from 1 species